rnacentral:rRNA from 1 species
GGCCGCGGGAAUUCGAUUCAGGCCUAACACAUGCAAGUCGAGCGGUAGAGAGAAGCUUGCUUCUCUUGAGAGCGGCGGACGGGUGAGUAAUGCCUAGGAAUCUGCCGGGUAGUGGGGGAUAACGUUCGGAAACGGACGCUAAUACCGCAUACGUCCUACGGGAGAAAGCGGGGGACCUUCGGGCCUUGCGCUAUCAGAUGAGCCUAGGUCGGAUUAGCUAGUUGGUGAGGUAAUGGCUCACCAAGGCUACGAUCCGUAACUGGUCUGAGAGGAUGAUCAGUCACACUGGAACUGAGACACGGUCCAGACUCCUACGGGAGGCAGCAGUGGGGAAUAUUGGACAAUGGGCGAAAGCCUGAUCCAGCCAUGCCGCGUGUGUGAAGAAGGUCUUCGGAUGUAAAUCAAUUGAGUUGGGAGGAAGGGCAUUAACCUAAUACG